GACGAACGCUGGCGGCGUGCUUAACACAUGCAAGUCGAACGGUAAGGCCCUUCGGGGUACACGAGUGGCGAACGGGUGAGUAACACGUGGGUGAUCUGCCCUGCACUUCGGGAUAAGCCUGGGAAACUGGGUCUAGUACCGGAUAGGACCACUGCCUACAUGGGGGGUGGUGGAAAGCUUUUGCGGGGUGGGAUGGGCCCGCGGCCUAUCAGCUUGUUGGUGGGGUGAUGGCCUACCAAGGCGACGACGGGUAGCCGGCCUGAGAGGGUGACCGGCCACACUGGGACUGAGAUACGGCCCAGACUCCUACGGGAGGCAGCAGUGGGGAAUAUUGCACAAUGGGCGCAAGCCUGAUGCAGCGACGCCGCGUGAGGGAUGACGGCCUUCGGGUUGUAAACCUCUUUCAGCACCGACGAAGCGCAAGUGACGGUAGGUGCAGAAGAAGGACCGGCCAACUACGUGCCAGCAGCCGCCGUAAUAC
rnacentral:rRNA from 1 species